rnacentral:tRNA from 4 species
CGGGGCGUGGCGCAGUCCGGUUAGCGCGCCUGGUUUGGGACCAGGAAGUCGGAGGUUCGAAUCCUCUCGCCCCGA